rnacentral:rRNA from 1 species
CACGUAGGGGGCAAGCGUUGUCCGGAAUUAUUGGGCGUAAAGAGCUCGUAGGCGGUUUGUCGCGUCUGCUGUGAAAACGCGAGGCUUAACCUCGCGCCUGCAGUGGGUACGGGCAGACUAGAGUGCGGUAGGGGAGACUGGAAUUCCUGGUGUAGCGGUGGAAUGCGCAGAUAUCAGGAGGAACACCGGUGGCGAAGGCGGUUCUCUGGGCCUGACCUGACGCUGAGGAGCGAAAGCGUGGGGAGCGAACAGG